CCUCUGGUAGCUCAGUUGUAGAGCGGUGGACUGUAGAUCCAUAGGGUCGCUGGUUCAAAUCCGGCCCAGAGGA
rnacentral:tRNA from 1 species